UUUGCUGGGAGAGGGUGGUUAUGCCCGGGACGUCCUCCAGAGAGCCACACGGGAGAGUCAGCUUCACCCAGCCAGAAGCACUGACAGCUGCAGAUGGAUGAUGGACGCCGUGGAUCAACACAGCUGGGGGGCACCAGGGCUCCAUCAAAGCCAGGGUAUCUUUUCUGCAAUCAGUGCGAGAGGCUCUGUGUGUAUACGAGCGAAAAGCACAAUACCUUGUGUUGUCGUAUUGAAUUACACGGGGCUUAUGUCACCGCUUCCUCAUCCAGUGAUCUGAAACUGAGCUGGACUUCAAUUUCUCUCGCCCCCUCCCCUCCCAGCUGGCUCGGGUUUUCUUUCUUCUGUGUGCGCAUCUCCCGCCCAUACUAGCAGGAUCACCCUGACCAAUGGCAAGGCUAAACACGCCACAGUAUUGUGGCAGACAGAAUAUUUUGAAGAUCACACUUGGAAGGAUUUUCAAGCCCUGAUGGAAAUUCAUAGGAAGGAGUUUGUUCACGCAACAGCGGCUGCCUCAACAGAGGCAACAAGGAGAGGCUUAGUUCACCUAGCAAGCUUGAAGAACUUGUUUAUUUUUCUCAUGUUGACCGAACAUAUCUUGAGGUUAUGAUGUGGGCAACUACCAAAGAAGUAACUUUUUCCAGCACUUGCGUAGUGUACUCAUCCAUUAAAACGUAAAUAAAACUUA